GGGCGGUUGGCGCAGUGGAAGCGCGUCUGACUUACAUUCAGAAGGUCAGAGGUUCAAAUCCUCUACCGCCCA
rnacentral:tRNA from 1 species